CCUCUUCCAAUCAUGAUCAACCGCGCCUAUAUACGGCGUGUCGGCGCAAGCUGACUAUGGUGAUAAAUGGACGGUGUAAUAAACCCAUUGGACCCGGGGGCGGUACCCGGCGCCUCCACCAGAAUACAAAUCAGCCUAUCGGUUUGUAUUGUGGUGGGGGCGAAACAGGAUCGACAAGGGUGUAAAGAUCGCUCUUUUACUCGGCAUGAUACCACCGUUAUCGGGUCAAUUGAGUAGUUGCAAAUGACAACAAAGCUCAGGGUUAUGCUCUCGCUGCCUAAUGGCGGUGCGGGAAACCCACUCUAAAGUCCUUAGGGUUAGCCCCUUAAGGCGGGGUUCGGAGGCACCUGGCAACAGAAGCCUCCACU
rfam:Elaeophora elaphi genomic scaffold, EEL_scaffold_00001_1479205